AAAGGAAUAGACGGGGGCCCGCACAAGCAGUGGAGUAUGUGGUUUAAUUCGACGCAACGCGAAGAACCUUACCAGGGCUUGACAUGUAUAUGAAUAUGCAAGAGAUUGCAUAGCUUUUCGGAGCAUAUACACAGGUGGUGCAUGGUUGUCGUCAGCUCGUGUCGUGAGAUGUUGGGUUAAGUCCCGCAACGAGCGCAACCCCUGUGAUUAGUUGCUAACAAGUUAAGUUGAGAACUUUAAUCAAACUGCCGUAGAUAAUACGGAGGAAGGUGGGGAUGACGUCAAAUCAUCAUGCCCUAUAUGCCCUGGGCUACACACGUACUACAAUGGUAGAUAACAGAGAGAGGCGAAACAGAGAUGUGGAGCAAAACUCAAAAAGCUAUCACAGUUCGGAUUGCAGGCUGAAAUUCGCCUGCAUGAAGCUGGAAUUGCUAGUAAUGGCAGGUCAGCAUACUGCCGUGAAUACGUUCCCGGGCCUUGUACACACCGCCCGU
rnacentral:rRNA from 1 species